rnacentral:lncRNA from 1 species
AGAAUAAUCUGCAGCUAGGGGAAGGCCAGGCUGGGUCUCAGGGUGAGAGUUACAGAAGGAUAUGAAAUAAUCGGGGAAGAGGCAAGUCCCGUUCUGCCAGGCUCCCCUCUCCACCUCUGGGAAGGGCUGGCCUCCCUUCAACCCUGAGGUGGGCUCAUGCCUGCCUUCCCAAUGGCUGCUUUCUGUCUCAGGCUGGGGUCACCUGCUCCCCAAACUGCCCACAGAUCCCCCAACUUUUUCCACUGGCUUUUCCUUGGCUUGUGCCAUGCCAGCUCCCAGAGUGCCUUCCUUACUCUCCCAAGCUGGCCCUAGGAUAGUCUGCUUGCUACCAGGAUUUAAUGCAAGAGUGGGUUUUUUUCCCCCUUUCUCUCCAAGGUUCUUUUUUAUGCUUCCCUGACUGUGGCCUGAGAAAGCGGAGAUGACUGGCCCCCGCUGGGUGUCCUGCUCUGUGCAGCGCUCAAAGCCUCUGCAAGUUUGCAGUGUGCUGUGUCUUUGGGUCUAUUUGUAGACUGUCCCUUCUGCCCCUGUGGGCUCUUCAAGGGCAGCAACCUGUGUCCCAGCCCCAAGCUGGGGCCUGGCACCACCUCCAGCCUUGAACCGGCUGACAGCCAGGGCCACAGGGACCCAGGUCUAUGUACUUUUGUCUAAACCAAGUCACAAAGAACAGCUCCUCCUUGCCCUGCAGACUAAGGUGUGAGAUUCCAACCAGCAGGAGCAUUCAGACCCGCCUCCUCCUGGGAGCCUCAAGACUUGCCUUUUGCCCUGAGAGCUUCAGAACCUCGCUGUGGGGAUGAUUACUUGCUGCUCCGCACUCAGAGAUGCUUUGAGGGAGGCCCAAAGUGAACCCCUCAAUUUUACCCACCCACCUCCCUACCUCCCCAUUUGCCAAAACAAACGCAUGCCAAAAGGUCAGACAAAAGCCAUCAACUUGAGAUGGGAGCCAACAUUUAAAAAGUACACAGGAUUUUGAGCCCUGGCUCCAUUAUUUCCUGGUCAGUUGACAUGUCACAUACUUACCCUUCCUGAGCCUCAGUUUACCCAUCUCUAAAGUGGAGAGAAUGCCUGUGCUCUGUGGGAUUCAGGGUCAGGGGAGCUCAUGUACAUGAAUAUGCUCGUCUAUUGCAAAGCUUCCCAAAAUGUUAGUCAUUUAUUUGUUAUUUUUUCCCAUGAUUUUUGCUACACCUCAACCAUCUGUAUCAACAUUUACUUACUAUUUUCCUUUAAAGAAAAUUUAAAUUGACUUGCUUUUUUUCUUGAACAGAAGAACUUUAUGGAAAACAACAAUACUUAAUAGAUCAUGGAUUUGACAUAUUUGUUAAUUUCCCUCCCUCCCAGUACACAUUGAAACAAAUUUACAGUCAGUUCAUAUGUCAUCUGUUUGACCCAAAUCAUUUUGUUCCAGAUGUUAGAAAAUGUUGCAUUACUAAACCUCAUUUUAUGGAGGAGUUUGCUUUGGGGUGUGAGUAACAUGAGCUGAAAGCUUCGGCAGGGCCGCUGGUCUUCCUAAUUUGCUUUCCUCCCCUCCUCAGCACCUUCCUUCCCCAGCUUACGUUUCAUUCUUCACAGGUGGAGAGCAUGACCUCAUGUCUUGUUUAGGAUCCUAGAAACAGCAAGCUUUGCUCUGCAGCAGGAGCGAAUGGUGUUUGCUUGAAGUGGCUGAUUGAGG